rnacentral:tRNA from 1 species
AGGAAUAUGGUGUAAUGGUAGCACGAUUGACUUUGACUCAAUUAGUCUAUGUUCAAAUCAUAGUAUUCCUGCCA